CUGCACCAGGCAUAUCAACGCUUGAUGCAGUGGUGAGGGGUGUGUGCCCUUACCUUGGUGUCGGUGGAUUCGUGUCGUAGUGGCAUCGCACGUCAACUGCGCUGAACGGAGAUGUCCGACAAAAAGUUGUACCAGCAGCUGCAGCCACGGUCAGCAACGUCGCAGAGGAUUUGCCAAAACAAGCGCUCAUGUGGCCAGGCAAACGGAGAGGUGCACUACCUGCGUCCCGAUUAUGGAUGGGGCGAUACUGGAACACGAAAGGUUACGGUUUCAGCAUGCAAACAGGCGUAAUAUUUGAGCCCGUGGAACUGAUGAGAUGCGAACCGGCUGCGACGUUCAAGGCGCGGCCGCGACGGCUGCCACUUCGCGCGUGCCGGCGCGACGGGUGUCUUGGGAGCCACGGAGCGGCGCGCCCGGUUCCUCGCAUUAACUCCAGCUGGCGCUCGCCUCCGCCGCAUCGCGGCCCACGCUAGAGGCCGUGGUUUCCCCAUAAAGCCCGCCUUCGUGCUCAGCGUUCCCGGCAAGCGCUUUCAGUUCGACACAGAAAGAGAAGCGAUGGCCGACAGUCUACGAGAGAAUUGGUCUUUCGCACGGGACCUCUGAAGACGUCAUCUUCCCCUGAGGGUCCGCGGCAAUCAGGAAGAGAGUGCAACGACUGCUGAUUGCUUUCAUACGAGGCAUGGAGUUCUUUGACGCCUGGUGACACAUCCCUGAUCUCAACUCGCAGGAGGCUCAGGUGGAACCAUUGUCGGCUAUGUAUACCAGUCUAACACCACUUGCUGCGACGCCACCACCUACUCGAGUAUAAAUGCUGCGAUGUGGUAUGGCUAAAGUAAUCAUAACUUUUAAGAGUCUUAGAACAUAUAUAUAUGCAUACUUUUAUACACUGAGUAACACAUUGGUGCUAUUGAGUAUUAGUCAGCGGCCAGUUAUGGCACGCUUAAGUCAAUACUCACAUGCCUCCAGACAGAUUUGGAUCAUUGUGGUUGGGGCUCAGGUACGCCUUGGUGACCGCCCAUACUGACACGACGACUAGAGGUAUUCCUGCAACAAGAGUAGCGGAAUACGGUGAAAGUUUAAUAGCUAGUCACAUGAUCCGCGAAAAACAUUUGUGGAUGUACCGUAUGUCGAUCACACCAGGUAUUUCUCCCUCGGUAUACUUUCUUUUCAGAAUCGUUUACGGGCGGUAGCACAGUUAUGAAUUUUUAAACGUGCUGCUUGAUGAAAUGGAAGUUCUUGCUUAGAGAACUUAUAGCGUAUACAUUUUAUGGAAAUAAAGUUUUUUAGUGCUAAUUUUUUAAGGUACUGAACCUCGGAAGGUUUCACGCAAGCAUGAUUGAUCCAACCAGGUAUAAGAAUUCACACUAUUUUUUUCGCACAAUUUUGCCAAAGCGAAAAUAUUGAAAUACGCGUUCCUGUCAUUUUUUUAUAGAAGCAGAGCUAUGAUACAGGCUUAACAGCAACUGUAAAAAAGUUAUUUAUAAGAUAACAGACAUUCACUCGAAAAUCAAACCAAAGACUAAAUUAGCAUUAGAUGCAAGUAUGCCACUAUAUUUACGUCUUUCGAGCCACACUAUAUGUGAAACGUGUAUAUCUCGCUUAAUUCAGGCCUGAAUUAUCUGUCUUGUUCAUGCAGUAAUAAUGCUUGAAUUCUCCACCUUGUAAUAAAAGUAAUACUCAACAGCAUCCGCUGUCACACCAACACAGACUUCAUGUUUACCAGAAUUACUCCGCCUGACUGCCUCCAUAUAACCUUUACACGCAUAAACUGGUUUUCACUGCGCACGUUUACGUCAAAAAAGUUUGUUGCGCUCUUUCUGCCCUACUGUAAGAGGAAAACAGAAUCAGCUGUCGAUUUUAGAUGGUCCGAAAUAAGAAAAGCAUAAGACAAGCCAGUGGCCUGCGU